GAUGAACGCUAGCGGCAGGCCUAAUACAUGCAAGUCGAGGGGUAGAAGAGGCUUGCUUCUUUGAGACCGGCGCACGGGUGCGUAACGCGUAUGCAACCUACCUUCAUCUGGGGGAUAGCCCGGAGAAAUCCGGAUUAAUACCGCAUAAAAUCACAGGAUGGCAUUAUCCAAUGAUCAAACAUUUAUGGGAUGGAGAUGGGCAUGCGUGUCAUUAGCUAGUUGGCGGGGUAACGGCCCACCAAGGCGACGAUGACUAGGAGGUCUGAGAGGAUGGCCCCCGACACUGGUACUGGGCCACGGACCAGACGCCGACGGGAGGCAGCAGUAAGGAAUAUUGGUGAAUGGAUGCAACUCUGAACCAGCCAUGCCGCGUGCAGGAAGACUGCCCUAUGGGUUGUAAACUGCUUUUAUUCGGGAAUAAACCUUAUUACGUGUAAUAAGCUGAAUGUACCGAAGGAAUAAGGAUCGGCUAACUCCGUGCCAGCCGCCGCGGUAA
rnacentral:rRNA from 1 species